AGAUCUGCUUGUACAGUAGCAAGCAGGGUAAUAAAAAGAAAUACUGUUAUUAAGA
rfam:Peptostreptococcaceae bacterium AS15 ctg120005099215, whole genome shotgun sequence.